rnacentral:misc_RNA from 1 species
UUCAAUAAAAGAAAAAAAACAGCGAAAAGUUGUAGAGAAAAAUAAAUACAUGAAUACUACCGCCAAGGUGUUCGUCGGCAGCCUGCCGCGCUGCAAGCCGGACGAACUGCGUCGACUGUUCACCAACUAUGGAUCAGUCGUUGAGUGCGAUGUGAUGAACCGCUGCGCCUUCGUCCACCUGGAGAACACGGACAUGGCGGAGGCGGCCAUCGCCGCACUGAAUGGCACCAUCUUCAAGGGCCAGCCCAUCGUGGUGGAGGCGGGCAGGCCAAAGUACGGCCCUGGAGUUGGCAGUCGAGGUCAGCCGGGCUCUGGUGACAAUCCGGGGCGCAGGCCCUCCCAGGUUCAAGGUGGCGGAGCGGACAAGAGACCUCAUGAAUCCGGUGGCAACUUUAAGCGCAACUUCCGCGAAGAAGUCGGUGGCAGAUACUCCAACGAAGGCCCAAGAGGCUCCAACUCCUCGGCCGCCAAAUUUGGUCCCGUAAGAAACGAGUCCAACUACAGACAACAGCGCAGUGCUCCCUACUCAAAAGGACCACCGAGCAAUGAGUCUUCCAAUCAGGGACAGGGAUUUAGGAACAAAUUUGCAGGCGGAGGCAAGUUUGGUGGAAGCGCGGGCAACGAAGGACGCUUCGGCAACAAUCGGUUUCAACAGCGGGACAACAGUGGACCACAGCCUGGCAGAAGAAACUUUAAGAACAGUCCAACCAGCGGAUAUAGAGGAGGAAGCAGCACUAGUGACUUUCAAGGAGGCAGCUCCAGCAGCGGUGGAGCAGGAUCACUGAAUCAAAGAGCCGGCGGCGGGGGACCAGGUCCCAGCAAUGUGCGACAGGAUCGCCGUGGAUUUGCCCUGCCUGUAGAGCAUCAGCAGCAGCAAAUGGGCUUCGGACGCUUUGGCAAUGGACCCAUGAACUCUGGCAAUCGUGGGACUAAUGGAAAUCCACCAGGAGGACGUAGUUUUUUCAACGGAGGAGGCGGAUUCAAUGACAGACGCGGUAGCAGUCACGAAACCAGCAGUCCCCAAGGAGGCCCAAGCAAACGCGGAGGGCCAGGAGCUAGAAAUCACAAUCAGAAUGGCAUAAAUGCAUAUCACUCGGAGUUCCCGCCUUUAGGCAGUGGCGGCGGAGUUCCAGGCCAAAGAAACCGCUUCAACGGACCCAGACCCGGGCCAAAUAUGGGCGGCAAUAGAAGAUUUUAAGCAGGUGCAAUGCAUAAAUGAUGUUUGCCAGUCCUCCCUCGUGUACUCCACUUAAUAAUAUACGACGAGUCAAUCAAUACAAUCAUAAAUACCACUUGAACUUUUGAA